rnacentral:rRNA from 1 species
GGCGAACGCUGGCGGCGUGCCUAACACAUGCAAGUGGAGCGACGAACCAGGCUUCGGCCUGGGGCAAAGCCGCGAACGGGUGAGUAACACGUGGGUUACCUACCCCGAAGACCGGGAUAACCCGGGGAAACUCGGGCUAAUACCGGAUGUGCUCCGUCUGCUGCGGCAGGCGGUGGAAAGGAAGCUUCGGCCUCCGCUUCGGGAUGGGCCCGCGGCCCAUUAGCUAGUUGGUGAGGUAACGGCUCACCAAGGCGACGAUGGGUAGCUGGUCUGAGAGGAUGGCCAGCCACACUGGGACUGAGACACGGCCCAGACUCCUACGGGAGGCAGCAUG